AACGAACGCUGGCGGCGCGCCUAAUACAUGCAAGUCGAGCGAGAAGACGUAGCAAUACGUUUGUAAAGCGGCGAACGGGUGAGGAAUACAUGGGUAACCUACCCUCGAGUGGGGAAGUAACUAGCCGAAAGGUUAGCUAAUACCGCGUACGCUCCUUGGACUUCGGUUCAGGGAGGGAAAGCGAUACCGUGGGUAUCGCGCUCUUGGAUGGGCUCAUGUCCUAUCAGCUUGUUGGUGAGGUAACGGCUCACCAAGGCUUCGACGGGUAGCUGGUCUGAGAGGACGGAUCAGCCACACUGGGACUGAGACACGGCCCAGACUCCUACGGGAGGCAGCAGUGGGGAAUCUUGCGCAAUGGGCGAAAGCCUGACGCAGCAA
rnacentral:rRNA from 1 species